rnacentral:rRNA from 1 species
GUAAGCUACUAAGAGCGAAUGGUGGAUGCCUUGACUGGUAAAGGCGAUGAAGGACGUACUAGACUGCGAUAAGCUACGGGGAGCUGUCAAGAAGCUUUGAUCCGUAGAUUUCCGAAUGGGGCAACCCAAUGUAUAGAGAUAUACAUUACCUAUAUAGGAGCGAACGAGGGGAAUUGAAACAUCUUAGUACCCUCAGGAAAAGAAAUCAAUAGAGAUUGCGUCAGUAGCGGCGAGCGAAAGCGCAAGAGGGCAAACCCAGUGCUUGCACUGGGGGUUGUAGGACUGCAAUGUGCAAGAGGUGAGUUUAGCAGAACAUUCUGGAAAGUAUAGCCAUAGAGGGUGAUAGUCCCGUAUGCGAAAAACAAACCUUAGCUAGCAGUAUCCUGAGUAGGGCGGGACACGAGAAAUCCUGUCUGAAGCUGGGUCGACCACGAUCCAACCCUAAAUACUAAUACCAGAUCGAUAGUGCACAAGUACCGUGAGGGAAAGGUGAAAAGAACUGAGGUGAUCAGAGUGAAAUAGAACCUGAAACCAUUUGCUUACAAUCAUUCAGAGCCCUAUGUAGCAAUACAGGGUGAUGGACUGCCUUUUGCAUAAUGAGCCUGCGAGUUGUGGUGUCUGGCAAGGUUAAGCAAACGCGAAGCCGUAGCGAAAGCGAGUCUGAAUAGGGCGCUUAGUCAGAUGCUGCAGACCCGAAACGAAGUGAUCUAUCCAUGAGCAAGUUGAAGCUAGUGUAAGAACUAGUGGAGGACUGAACCCAUAGGCGUUGAAAAGCCCCGGGAUGACUUGUGGAUAGGGGUGAAAGGCCAAUCAAACUUCGUGAUAGCUGGUUCUCUCCGAAAUAUAUUUAGGUAUAGCGUUGUGUCGUAAUAUAAGGGGGUAGAGCACUGAAUGGGCUAGGGCAUACACCAAUGUACCAAACCCUAUCAAACUCCGAAUACCUUAUAUGUAAUCACAGCAGUCAGGCGGCGAGUGAUAAAAUCCGUCGUCAAGAGGGAAACAACCCAGACUACCAGCUAAGGUCCCUAAAUCUUACUUAAGUGGAAAACGAUGUGAAGUUACUUAAACAACCAGGAGGUUGGCUUAGAAGCAGCCAUCCUUUAAAGAAAGCGUAAUAGCUCACUGGUCUAGUGAUUUUGCGCGGAAAAUAUAACGGGGCUAAAGUAAGUACCGAAGCUGUAGACUUGCGCACAACUUAGAUUAUUUAAGUUUAGAAUAUGAGAAACUAAGUUAUAUGUUUAGUUAUAUUUUUACUGAUUUUUAUAGAGUAAAGAUAGAAAUAAAACUUAGUAAAAUCAGUAAAAAUAUUCUUAGACUAAAGUUAAGUAGUUUAAGUUGUGUGCAAGUGGUAGGAGAGCGUUCUAUUUGCGUCGAAGGUAUACCGGUAAGGAGUGCUGGAGCGAAUAGAAGUGAGCAUGCAGGCAUGAGUAGCGAUAAUUAAUGUGAGAAUCAUUAACGCCGUAAACCCAAGGUUUCCUACGCGAUGCUCGUCAUCGUAGGGUUAGUCGGGUCCUAAGUCGAGUCCGAAAGGGGUAGACGAUGGCAAAUUGGUUAAUAUUCCAAUACCAACAUUAGUGUGCGAUGGAAGGACGCUUAGGGCUAAGGGGGCUAGCGGAUGGAAGUGCUAGUCUAAGGUCGUAGGAGGUUAUACAGGCAAAUCCGUAUAACAAUACUCCGAGAACUGAAAGGCUUUUUGAAGUCUUCGGAUGGAUAGAAGAACCCCUGAUGCCAUCGAGCCAAGAAAAGUUUCUAAGUUUAGCUAAUGUUGCCCGUACCGUAAACCGACACAGGUGGGUGGGAUGAGUAUUCUAAGGCGCGUGGAAGAACUCUCUUUAAGGAACUCUGCAAAAUAGCACCGUAUCUUCGGUAUAAGGUGUGGUUCGCUUCGUAUUAGGAUUUACUCCGAAAGCGAAGAAACUUACAACAAAGAGUCCCUCCCGACUGUUUACCAAAAACACAGCACUCUGCUAACUCGUAAGAGGAUGUAUAGGGUGUGACGCCUGCCCGGUGCUCGAAGGUUAAUUGAUGGGGUUAGCAUUAGCGAAGCUCUUGAUCGAAGCCCGAGUAAACGGCGGCCGUAACUAUAACGGUCCUAAGGUAGCGAAAUUCCUUGUCGGUUAAAUACCGACCUGCAUGAAUGGCGUAACGAGAUGGGAGCUGUCUCAAAGAGGGAUCCAGUGAAAUUGUAGUGGAGGUGAAAAUUCCUCCUACCCGCGGCAAGACGGAAAGACCCCGUGGACCUUUACUACAGCUUGACACUGCUACUUGGAUAAGAAUGUGCAGGAUAGGUGGGAGGCUUUGAGUAUAUGACGCCAGUUGUAUAUGAGCCAUUGUUGAGAUACCACUCUUUCUUAUUUGGGUAGCUAACCAGCUUGAGUUAUCCUCAAGUGGGACAAUGUCUGGUGGGUAGUUUGACUGGGGCGGUCGCCUCCCAAAUAAUAACGGAGGCUUACAAAGGUUGGCUCAGAACGGUUGGAAAUCGUUCGUAGAGUAUAAAGGUAUAAGCCAGCUUAACUGCAAGACAUACAAGUCAAGCAGAGACGAAAGUCGGUCUUAGUGAUCCGGUGGUUCUGUGUGGAAGGGCCAUCGCUCAAAGGAUAAAAGGUACCCCGGGGAUAACAGGCUGAUCUCCCCCAAGAGCUCACAUCGACGGGGAGGUUUGGCACCUCGAUGUCGGCUCAUCGCAUCCUGGGGCUGGAGCAGGUCCCAAGGGUAUGGCUGUUCGCCAUUUAAAGCGGUACGCGAGCUGGGUUCAGA